rnacentral:rRNA from 1 species
CUAGCGGCAGGCCUAACACAUGCAAGUCGAGGGGCAUCACGAGGUAGCAAUACUUUGGUGGCGACCGGCGCACGGGUGCGUAACGCGUAUGUAACCUACCUAUAACAGGGGCAUAACACUGAGAAAUUGGUACUAAUUCCCCAUAAUAUUCGGAGAGGCAUCUCUCCGGGUUGAAAACUCCGGUGGUUAUAGAUGGACAUGCGUUGUAUUAGCUAGUUGGUGAGGUAACGGCUCACCAAGGCAACAAUACAUAGGGGGACUGAGAGGUUAACCCCCCACACUGGUACUGAGACACGGACCAGACUCCUACGGGAGGCAGCAGUGAGGAAUAUUGGUCAAUGGACGCAAGUCUGAACCAGCCAUGCCGCGUGCAGGAAGACGGCUCUAUGAGUUGUAAACUGCUUUUGUACGAGGGUAAACUCACCUACGUGUAGGUGACUGAAAGUAUCGUACGAAUAAGGAUCGGCUAACUCCGUGCCAGCAGCCGCGGUAAUACGGAGGAUUCAAGCGUUAUCCGGAUUUAUUGGGUUUAAAGGGUGCGUAGGCGGUUUGAUAAGUUAGAGGUGAAAUCCCGGGGCUUAACUCCGGAACUGCCUCUAAUACUGUUAGACUAGAGAGUAGUUGCGGUAGGCGGAACGUAUGGUGUAGCGGUGAAAUGCUUAGAGAUCAUACAGAGCACCGAUUGCGAAGGCAGCUUACCAAACUAUAUCUGACGUUGAGGCACGAAAGCGUGGGGAGCAAACAGGAUUAGAUACCCUGGUAGUCCACGCAGUAAACGAUGAUAACUCGUUGUCGGCGAUACACAGUCGGUGACUAAGCGAAAGCGAUAAGUUAUCCACCUGGGGAGUACGUUCGCAAGAAUGCAAAUCAAAGGAAUUGACG